CAGCUACGCCUGCCGGGUGCAGCACAGCAGCCUGGGGGGCCGGAGCCUGCUGAUCCCCUGGGAGCAGAGCAGGCCCUGGGGCCCCGGCCUGGCCGUGGGCAUCACCCUGGGGGUUGUGGCCGUAGCCGCCGUGGCCGUGGUGCUGUGGCGGAGCAGACGCAGGGGCUACCAGGACGUUAGACCGAGGGAGUCCAGUCCCUGAGGGGGCGGCACCGGCCCCAGCGUGGGGAUCGGCCCCUCUCCUGGGGACAUAGACCUUGCAGCUGGAUCCCUGCCCAGCUCCAGAGCUCAGGGUCCCCCAAGGGCAGGACUGGAUCGGGGCGCUGGGAGAUGGGGGCCCGGGGUGGGGGGUGGGAUUCUCCCCCCUCUGGGAUGUUCAGGGGGCAUUGGACACUUGGGAGCGCUGUGGGAUCGCUGGGAUCCAGGUCUCUUGUAAGGUAUCGUCACAAAGCUUCUAAUCUGCUGUGUGUGGGCGUCGCAUUGGUGUGAAUGUGUCAGUCUUGUAUCUGUAACUAGGAAUAUGGACUAGAACUCCGGGGUCCUAUUGGAGUUAUGCAAAGUGGGGGCCGUUAAUGGGGGCUUGGAAUCUUGCUGGCUCCCAUCAACCGGGACAAUUGGUGGCAAACGGCUCCGUUUACUCCAAGCCUUCCUGUGUCCCCGUGUGCAGCCAGUCGGGCAUGAAGUGUCACCGGACAUGGGACCAUGUCACCUGGUACUGGAAGCCAUCUUCAACCUGGGGCAUUUCCAUUUAGGAGGGGUGGGGCCCAGAGACAAAGGAUUCCCGCCUUGGGCCGAAGCUAUAAUAGGGGGUGGAGCAGGACAAAGGGGGGCCAGUCAUGAGAACGCCCCUGCUUUGCCCCUGAUAGUCUGGUCUGUGAGAGAAGCUUCUUGGAACCUCUCUGCGGGAGAGAUUUACCCAUGUUCAGUUUCCUACUGUGUUAGGCUCAGACUUUUGUUUGAUUUUGCUUGGUGACUUACUUUGUUCUGUCUGUUAUUACUUGGAACCACUUAAAUCCCACUUGUUAUACUUCAUAAAAUCACUUUUGCUUAUUAA